AAAUUGAAGAGUUUGAUCAUGGCUCAGAUUGAACGCUGGCGGCAGGCCUAACACAUGCAAGUCGAGCGGAAACGAGUUAUCUGAACCUUCGGGGAACGAUAACGGCGUCGAGCGGCGGACGGGUGAGUAAUGCCUAGGAAAUUGCCCUGAUGUGGGGGAUAACCAUUGGAAACGAUGGCUAAUACCGCAUGAUGCCUACGGGCCAAAGAGGGGGACCUUCGGGCCUCUCGCGUCAGGAUAUGCCUAGGUGGGAUUAGCUAGUUGGUGAGGUAAGGGCUCACCAAGGCGACGAUCCCUAGCUGGUCUGAGAGGAUGAUCAGCCACACUGGAACUGAGACACGGUCCAGACUCCUACGGGAGGCAGCAGUGGGGAAUAUUGCACAAUGGGCGCAAGCCUGAUGCAGCCAUGCCGCGUGUGUGAAGAAGGCCUUCGGGUUGUAAAGCACUUUCAGUCGUGAGGAAGGUAGUGUAGUUAAUAGCUGCAUUAUUUGACGUUAGCG
rnacentral:rRNA from 1 species